UCGUCAGUGCGGUACAUCCUGACCUGCCCCGCGCAUGCGCGGGCAGCGCGUGAUGAGCGCGUGCGCGAUGACGCUUUCACGUGAUUACGUCACGCGUUAGUGGGCGGCACCUGCAGGGCUGACGCAACAACAGCCUGGCGCCGCCCUCUCGCCGACUCUGAU
ensembl:snoRNA U8 U8 small nucleolar RNA